UCGCCACAGUCACGUGGGAGAAACGCUGGACGAGUUUCAUUAGGUCAGUCUCAUUAACUGUCUCGAACACCAAUUAAUUUAUUAUGUGUGGACAUCUUUACCUUCGUCCCAGAUAGAUUUUAUUCAGUCAUAUGUAGUAGCGAGCCGUUUUAACCUGUAUUCCUUAAAGUUAAACUAACUAGGAUCUAUUUUAUUACAUUUAUUAGUGUAUUCUAAUUGUUUAACGUACAUUUUUAAUGUUACAAAAAUAUUAUAAAUACAAAAUUAUUAUUCUAUUACUUACUAUUUAUUUUAAAUAAUAAUAAUAAUAAUAAUAUAACAUAAAUAUAGAUGGAAAUAAUAAAAAGAAAUAUAACAGAAAAAAAUACAAAAUCGAUAUUGGGCCUCGCAUGUAUGUAGUAUGUCCAACAACAGAUCUACAAUUUCAAAUCGUUAAUGCUUUGGAAAAACACUAAGAUUAAAAUCUUAAGACAAUGCGUCAUCUCUGUAAGACGCGCUCCAUCUGUUUUACUCUUGUGGCUGUCCAGCUGACUGCCCAUUGACCGGGGGAGCCGCUGUUCCUGAACCACGGUGAACCAAAUGCUUCCUAACAAUUGAAGCAGUGGGACAGUAGUGGAACAGUAACAUCUUGUACCUUCUCAAGAGUUUACAGGGUCCUGGUCACGCCCACCCGCUCGCUGAUUGGCGGACGUUCUGUCGAUUGGUUACACAGGAUCCAAUCAGGAGACAGUCACGUGGCUGUAAUGUUUUCCAGCAGAUUGCGGGCUCCUUUUGCUUGAAUUACUGCCUCAAUUCGGUGUGGCAUGGAGGUGAUCAGUCUGUAGCACUGCUGAGGUUGUAUGGAAACAAAGGUUUCUUUGACAGUGGCCUUCAGCUCAUCCGCAUUUUUUGGUCUCUUGUUUCUCAUUUUCCUCUUGACACUACCGUUCAGGUCUGGUGCCAGAUCCUGCUGGAAAAUGAAAUCAGCAUCUUUAAAAAGCUGGUCAGCAGAAGAAAGCAUAAAGUGCUCUAAAAUUUCUCUGUAAACGGGUGCAGUGACUUUGGUUUUCAAAAAACACAGUGGACCAACACCAGCAGAUGACAUUGCUCCCCAAAUCAUCACAGACUGUGGAAACUUAACACUGGACUUCAAGCAACUUGGGCUAUAAGCUUCUCCACCCUUCCUCCAGACUCUAGGACCUUGGUUUCCAAAUGAAAUACAAAACUUGCUCUCAUCUAAAAAAAGGACUUUGGACCACUUGGCAACAGUCCAUUUCUUCUUCUCCUUAGCCCAGUUAAGACGCCUCUGACAUUGUCUGUGGUUCAGGAGUGGCUUAACAAGAGGAAUACAACAACUGUAGCCAAAUUCCUUUACAUGUCUGUGUGUGGUGGCUCUUGAUGCCUUGACUCAGUCCAUUUCUUCUGAAGUUCACCCAAAUUCUUGAAUCGAUUUUGCUUGACAAGCCUCUCAAGGCUUUUCCUUCCACUCAACUUUCUGUUAACCUGCUUGGAUACAGAACUCUGUGAACAGCCAGCUUCUUUGGCAAUGAAUGUUUGUGGCUUACCCUCCUUGUGAAGGGUGUCAGUGAUUGUCUUCUGGACAACUGUCAGAUCAGCAGCCUUCCCCAUGAUUGUGCAGCCUAGUGAACCAAACUGAGAGACCAUUUUGAAGACUUAGGAAACAUUUCCAGGUGUUUUGAGUUGAUUAGCUGAUUGGCAUGUCACCAUAGUCUAAUUUGUUGAGAUAGUAUUGAGAUAGUGAACCAAAGACUUAAACUACUUAAGUCUGUGUGCACUGAAUUUAUUUAAUACCAAGUUUCACAAUUUGAGUUAUAUUACUGAAAUAAAUGAACCUUUCCACAACAUUCUAAUUUACUGAGAUGCACCUGUAUGUAUGUAUAUAUAUAUAUAUAUAUAUUAAAUUGUUUUAGCAAAUAAAAUUAACACUAGAUAAGAAGAAAAAAAUAGCACAAAAACUGUUUCUCCUUCACAGUUGCAAAACAGCCAUUCUGGCUAA